AAGUCGUAACAAGGUUUCCGUAGGUGAACCUGCGGAAGGAUCAUUAAAUUUGGCAUACAACGCACCGCUGUCGGGCAGUUUACCGGGCGCAGUUCGCUGCGUUAACGGCUAGCUGUUUGGGCAGAUGGUGAGGCGGCUUCUUCGCAGCCACUUUAGCCCGCGGGUACCUGGGUUCAAUCAUACUCCAGGUGUGGUUAAGGAGCGCGUGCCAGGUAAACUGGCAUCCCCCAUACGCGUAGCCUGAGUGCGGAUUAGGACUGAAUCCUUAUACUGUAUUAGUACUCCCAUUGUCCUUCGGUGGGGCAACCUGCCGUUGGAAUCUUGAUAAACCCUUUGCAUCUAGUAUUACCUGUUCUGAAUCAUACAAUCGUUACAACUUUCAACAAUGGAUCUCUUGGCUCUG
rnacentral:misc_RNA from 1 species